rnacentral:lncRNA from 1 species
GCUCAAACAUACUUAAAAAAAGAAAAGCCCCUAGGAUAGGAGAUGCUGGAGAAAAUGUGAGGAUAUCUGUGAGAUGGAGGAAGUGGAGGAGACAUGUAGAAGGAAGUGACACAGUCUUGGAAGGAGCUGCUCCAUGCCAAAGAAGGGACACCCUGUAGGGAGCUGUGGCACACAGAGGACACACUAUGAAACAGUGGAAUAGUAAUGCAAGAAGCAGUGGAGGAAAAUGAGUAAGAAGCAAACAACGGCAACGAUAACCAUUACACACUGACCCCAACUGUCCACAUUGCCCAGUGCCUCUCACAGAAAGAACUGGGGCAAAGGGACUGAUCAUAACACCCAUUGAAAGCAAGGGAUGUUGAGACCAGAAAGGGGUAGGAGAGGUGCUUGAGCUUGGGAAGGAAGGAGAAAUGUCUUUCUCUAAGUGUUUAUGUCUGCCUUUCUCCUCCCUGUAUCUGAAUCAGUAGCUGAAAUUUUGUGUUAGCUGUCAAUAAAUUAAAUUAAGCAGGAAGUCCCAUGUGAGACUGCUUUGUCUGCAAAGACCUAUCAUACCUUCCACAGGAGAGAGAAGCCAGAAUAUUUGCUGUACAUGAAAGAGUUGGGAGGUACAAAUGUCUUCAAGAAAUCUCUAGAAGUCACAUGUGCUCAUCUGGCCUGAGAGCUCAAACUACUCAAACUGACCUCAUAUCACUGCCAUGCCACAAGGAGAAGCAAAACUAGCGAAACGAUAUCCAGUGGUGCACAAGGAUUUCCCAUCAUGCUACAGG